CCUACGGGUGGCAGCAGUGGGGAAUAUUGCGCAAUGGGCGAAAGCCUGACGCAGCGACGCCGCGUGAGGGAUGAAGGUCUUCGGAUCGUAAACUUCUGUCAGCAGGGAAGAACGGUCACUGUGCUAAUCAGCAGUGAAUUGACGGUACCUGCAAAGGAAGCACCGGCUAACUCCGUGCCAGCAGCCGCGGUAAUACGGAGGGUGCGAGCGUUAAUCGGAAUUACUGGGCGUAAAGCGCUCGUAGGCGGUAUGUCAAGUCAAGGGGGAAAUCCCCGCGCUCAACGUGGGAACUGCCUUUGAGACUGGCAAGCUGGAGUGUGGGAGAGGAUAGUGGAAUUCCAGGUGUAGCGGUGAAAUGCGUAGAUAUCUGGAGGAACAUCAGUGGCGAAGGCGACUAUCUGGCACAUAACUGACGCUGAGGAGCGAAAGCGUGGGUAGCAAACAGGAUUAGAUACCCCGGUAGUC
rnacentral:rRNA from 1 species